rnacentral:rRNA from 1 species
CCUACGGGAGGCUGCAGUGAGGAAUAUUGGUCAAUGGGCGAGAGCCUGAACCAGCCAAGUCGCGUGAAGGAUGACGGCCCUACGGGUUGUAAACUUCUUUUGUCAGGGAGCAAUUGGGUCCACGCGUGGGCUUAGCGAGAGUACCUGAAGAAAAAGCAUCGGCUAACUCCGUGCCAGCAGCCGCGGUAAUACGGAGGAUGCGAGCGUUAUCCGGUUUUAUUGGGUUUAAAGGGUGCGGAGGCGGAAUAUCAAGUCAGCGGUAAAAAUUCGGGGCUCAACCCCGUCGUGCCGUUGAAACUGGUAGUAGGGAGUGGGAGAGAAGUAUGCGGAAGGCGCGGUGUAGCGGUGAAAUGCAUAGAUAGCGCGAAGAACUCCGAUUGAGAAGGCAGCAUGCCGGCGCCAAACUGACGCUGAGGCACGAAAGCGUGGGUAUCGAACAGGAGUAGAUACCCCUGUAGUC